rnacentral:rRNA from 1 species
CAGCCGCCGCGGUAAUACGUAGGUGGCAAGCGUUGUCCGGAAUUAUUGGGCGUAAAGGGCUCGCAGGCGGUUUCUUAAGUCUGAUGUGAAAGCCCCCGGCUCAACCAGGGAGGGUCAUUGGAAACUGGGAAACUUGAGUGCAGAAGAGGAGAGUGGAAUUCCACGUGUAGCGGUGAAAUGCGUAGAGAUGUGGAGGAACACCAGUGGCGAAGGCGACUCUCUGGUCUGUAACUGACGCUGAGGAGCGAAAGCGUGGGGAGCGAACAGGAUUAGAUACCCCGGUAGUCCCUGUCUCUUAUAC